rnacentral:tRNA from 1 species
AAAGCUUUAGUUUAAUUAGAAUGAUUCAUUUACACUGAAUUGGUAUGAGCUUUU